UGUAAGCCAGGUCGGUUUCUAUCUUUAUUAAAUUAAAAUAUUUUAGUACGAAAGGACCAAAUAUUUAAUAUAGUAUAUAUUUUUAAUUUUUGAAUAUUAUU
rnacentral:rRNA from 1 species